GGCUCCGCCCACCCACGCCCACAAUUUUGAUUGGAUAACUCUGGCCGCCUAUUAUUAUUAUGCCCGCCCUUCCAUUGUUAUUGGUCAACUCAGCCGUCUGUUUGAUAGAUCAGCGGUCUGUUGGUCAAUGCUGCUCGGCGGUUGCUGGGGACCGCCUACGGAAUCUACCACAGGCGGUGCAGGAGGACGGGGCGCGGCGGGGGACACAGCGGCCGCCGCGGGGCUCGAUCGGUGAAGGCAUGACUUCCCAGUACGGCAGGGAAAAUAGGGUGCAAGCCCAGAAACUAUUUACCCACCACCACUUGUUGAAAAACUGAUUCGAAGGCAUCUCCGGUUUGAACAAACAGAAAGUGCCAGGAUUUGAUGCAUCUCUGGUUUUGCACUGGAGACCUUUCACUACUAAAUAUCAAGACGAAAAAACUGGAAACUAAUCCGAAUCUUACUCAAAGUCAGAAUGGAACGAUUUGUGGUAACAGCACCACCUGCUAGAAACCGUUCUAAGACUGCAUUGUAUGUGACUCCCCUGGAUAGAGUCUCUGAGUUUGGAGGUGAGCUUCAUGAAGAUGGAGGAAAACUCUUCUGCACUUCUUGCAAUGUGGUUCUGAAUCAUGUUCGCAAGUCUGCCAUUAGUGACCAUCUCAAGUCAAAGACUCAUACCAAGAGGAAGGCAGAAUUUGAAGAGCAGAAUGUGAGAAAGAAACAGAGGCCCCUAACUGCCUCUCUUCAGUGCAACAGUACUGCACAAACAGAGAAAGUCAGUGUUAUCCAGGACUUUGUGAAAAUGUGUCUGGAAGCCAACAUCCCACUUGAGAAGGCUGAUCACCCAGCAGUCCGUGCUUUCCUGUCUCGCCAUGUGAAGAAUGGAGGCUCCAUACCUAAAUCAGACCAGCUGCGGAGAGCCUAUCUUCCUGAUGGAUAUGAGAAUGAAAAUCAGCUCCUCAACUCACAAGAUUGUUGACAAGGAGGUUACCACCAUUGUGAUCAAGAUAAAUAAUGUGGAGUAUUAAAGUUACGUGUUGAUUGUGUGGUUCA